rnacentral:rRNA from 1 species
GCCCAGACUCCUACGGGAGGCAGCAGUGGGGAAUCUUCCGCAAUGGGCGCAAGCCUGACGGAGCAACGCCGCGUGAAUGAAGAAGGUCUUCGGAUCGUAAAGUUCUGUUCUUAGGGAAGAAGUCUUUUCUUGUGAAUAAUGGGAGAAGGUGACGGUACCUAUGGAGAAAGCUCCGGCUAACUACGUGCCAGCAGCCGCGGUAAUACGUAGGGAGCAAGCGUUGUCCGGAAUUACUGGGCGUAAAGGGCGCGUAGGUGGGCGCUUAAGUCAGGUGUGAAAACUCCGGGCUCAACCUGGAGACUGCACUUGAACCUGGGUGUCUUGAGGGCAGGAGAGGAAAGUGGAAUUCCUAGUGUAGCGGUGAAAUGCGUAGAUAUUAGGAGGAACACCAGUGGCGAAGGCGACUUUCUGGACUGUAACUGACGCUGAGGCACGAAAGUGUGGGGAGCAAACAGGAUUAGAUACCCCAGUAA